rnacentral:tRNA from 2 species
GGAUCAUUAGCUCAGUUGGUCAGAGCAUCCGGCUCAUAACCGGACGGUCAUCUGUUCGAGUCAGAUAUGAUCCA